GCCAAUGUGUUGUAGUGGUUUGAAUGUUGGACUACGACUCUGGAGACCUGGGUUCAAAUCCCCACUCAAGCA
rnacentral:tRNA from 1 species